rnacentral:misc_RNA from 1 species
GAUGAAGAACGCAGCGAAAUGCGAUAAGUAAUGUGAAUUGCAGAAUUCAGUGAAUCAUCGAAUCUUUGAACGCACAUUGCGCCCCCUGGUAUUCCGGGGGACAUGCCUGUCCGAGCGUCAUUACAACCCUCAAGCUCAGCUUGGUGUUGGGCCCCGCCGCCCCGGCGGGCCCUAAAGUCAGUGGCGGUGCCGUCCGGCUCCGAGCGUAGUAAUUCUUCUCGCUCUGGAGGUCCGGUCGUGUGCUCGCCAGCAACCCCCAAUUUUUUUCAGGUUGACCUCGGAUCAGGUAGGGAUACCCGCUGAACUUAAGCAUAUCAAUAAGCGGAGGA